GACGAACGCUGGCGGCGUGCUUAACACAUGCAAGUCGAACGGAAAGGCCGUGCUUGCAGGGUACUCGAGUGGCGAACGGGUGAGUAACACGUGGGUGAUCUGCCCUGCACUUCGGGAUAAGCCUGGGAAACUGGGUCUAAUACCGGAUAGGAGCCAUUUUUAGUGUGAUGGUUGGAAAGUUUUUUCGGUGUAGGAUGAGCUCGCGGCCUAUCAGCUUGUUGGUGGGGUAAUGGCCUACCAAGGCGGCGACGGGUAGCCGGCCUGAGAGGGUGGACGGCCACAUUGGGACUGAGAUACGGCCCAGACUCCUACGGGAGGCAGCAGUGGGGAAUAUUGCACAAUGGGCGCAAGCCUGAUGCAGCGACGCCGCAUGGGGGAUGACGGCCUUCGGGUUGUAAACGCCUUUCGCUAGGGACGAAGCUCUUUGUGACGGUACCUAGAUAAGAAGCACCGGCUAACUACGUG
rnacentral:rRNA from 1 species